rnacentral:rRNA from 1 species
AUUGAACGCUGGCGGUAUGCUUAACACAUGCAAGUCGAACGGUAGCAGGCCUUCGGGCGCUGACGUGUGGCGGACGGGUGAGUAACGCGUAGGAAUCUGCCUCAUAGUGGGGGACAACGUGUGGAAACGCACGCUAAUACCGCAUACGCCCUACGGGGGAAAGCGGGGGACCUUUGGGCCUCGCGCUAUGAGAUGAGCCUGCGUUAGAUUAGCUAGUUGGUGGGGUAAAGGCCUACCAAGGCGACGAUCUAUAGCUGGUCUGAGAGGACGAUCAGCCACACUGGGACUGAGACACGGCCCAGACUCCCACGGGAGGCAGCAGUGGGGAAUAUUGGACAAUGGGCGCAAGCCUGAUCCAGCAAUACCGCGUGUGUGAAGAAGGCCCUAGGGUUGUAAAGCACUUUCAAUAGGGAGGAAAACCUGCCGGUCAAUACCCGGUAGCUUGACAUUACCUAUACAAGAAGCACCGGCUAACUCCGUGCCAGCCGCCGCCGUAAGAC